rnacentral:rRNA from 1 species
UUAUUAUGAGAGUUUGAUCCUGGCUCAGGACGAACGCUGGCGGCGUGCCUAAUACAUGCAAGUCGAACGCUUCUUUCCUCCCGAGUGCUUGCACUCAAUUGGAAAGAGGAGUGGCGGACGGGUGAGUAACACGUGGGUAACCUACCCAUCAGAGGGGGAUAACACUUGGAAACAGGUGCUAAUACCGCAUAACAGUUUAUGCCGCAUGGCAUAAGAGUGAAAGGCGCUUUCGGGUGUCGCUGAUGGAUGGACCCGCGGUGCAUUAGCUAGUUGGUGAGGUAACGGCUCACCAAGGCCACGAUGCAUAGCCGACCUGAGAGGGUGAUCGGCCACACUGGGACUGAGACACGG